ACUGGGAGUAAUACCGUAUGAGCCCCUUGGCCUUGGCGGUCUUGGGGGAAAGAUUUAUCGGCAAAGGAUCGGCCCGCGUUGGAUUAGGUAGUUGGUGAGGUAACGGCUCACCAAGCCGACGAUCCAUAGCUGGUUUGAGAGGAUGAUCAGCCACACUGGGACUGAGACACGGCCCAGACUCCUACGGGAGGCAGCAGUGGGGAAUCUUAGACAAUGGGGGCAACCCUGAUCUAGCCAUGCCGCGUGAGUGAUGAAGGCCUUAGGGUUGUAAAGCUCUUUCAGCUGGGAAGAUAAUGACGGUACCAGCAGAAGAAGCCCCGGCUAACUCCGUGCCAGCAGCCGCGGUAAUACGGAGGGGGCUAGCGUUGUUCGGAAUUACUGGGCGUAAAGCGCACGUAGGCGGACUGGAAAGUCAGAGGUGAAAUCCCAGGGCUCAACCUUGGAACUGCCUUUGAAACUAUCAGUCUGGAGUUCGAGAGAGGUGAGUGGAAUUCCGAGUG
rnacentral:rRNA from 1 species